ensembl:lncRNA
CCCCCCCCCCCCCCCCCCCCCCCCCCCUUUGUUCAUUGUUUACACGGAUGAAGAGAAGGGCCCUGGGUUAUUUGUUUUUCUUUCCUUCCCCCACCCCCCCCACCCCAACCCCCCCCCUUUUUUUUCUUUCCUCCCUUUUUUCCCGAUAUGUGAUCGCUUUGCAUACAGGACAAAAUGUUUCAGUGUUUUAAAUGCCGAAGUAUUCAAAGCAUUCGCACCCCCAAACCACGCACUGUGCCUCCCCCAGAGAAUGCUUUUUCCACCGAAGUUAGAAAUGUCUAAGAAUAGAACACAGUCGUUUCCCUCUGUACCCCCUGGACCCACAAUGUCCUGAGUUUCUCAUAGCGAUUAAUCUGAGAUCUAUUUUCCCACCACUGUCCUGGAUGUGGGUAUUGAAAUCAUCAUCUGUGCUUUGAAAAAAUAAAAUAAAAUAGUAAUAAUUUAAAAAGAACAAAAUAAACAUUUUGUAAAAAAGAAAAAAAAAGAAGAAAAUGGAAGAAGUGAUAAUUCGGAGCUAAAGCGUGCAGUUCAAAAGCUGAAGCUCCCAUUGGAGAACAGAAAAUUUAAUGAGCUUUUAAUGGAAUGCAAUGCUCGGAGUAGUAAAUUAUUUGUUAGUUGACGAUGCAAUCAGCAUGCUGAUUAAGGUCGCUUGGUUUUUUACCAAACAUUAACUGAAUGAAAGCGGUUAGCCCGCGUUGUUCUGCUUGGGGGGCUCCGGCGAAGCAAAUGGACUUUAAGAACAGCGACUGUCAAUAAAGAGAACCAACGCAACAAACCCUGGUGGCAUUAGCGCACAAUGGGGAGGCGGCUGCGGUUCUGUGCGUGCUGACUGUAUAUAUUCACCCGCCGAGUCCUCCGGUCGAUCCGAAGAUCGGCAGCGCGUGCGCUGCUCUAAGACAGCGUUUAUCGGUUCGGUCGGCAGUUGGCUUUGCUCUGCGGAUUUACGGGGGGCAGAAAUGCGAGUUUAAAUAAGUAAAUGAAUAAAUAACGACGAGUCUGGAAGCUCUGCAUCUUGUGUUAACGACCACGCAGUCCCUCUCCUAUAAAUCCCAUUUAGCUCCGUCGUCGCGUUGUUCGCCGGCGGUGAUGAGAUACCUUUAAACCCCGAUAAAUAACUCUCUCGGUGUGUUUUAACUGUUCCUGUUUAUGACCCAAGAGGUUAAAUGCCUUUGACUGGCAUUUGACUUCUGACCUCAUAUAAAUGUUAUCUUAUCAGUUCCCGCUUGUUAACUUGUAUUGAGUGCUUGUCCCUGAUGGCUUCGAGAUAAAGGGGUUUUUAUUAUAUUUCCUAUUGAAACUGAACCCUUUGCUUUGUUCUUCGCCUGUAGUCUCAGCCCACACAGUAACCCCGUCACCUAACAGUUCUGCUGAAUGGGCGAAAACCCCAAACUGGUUACAGCUCACACGGAGCCUGAUUUCCUUCUGGGUUGGAUGGAUCGAGUCGGAUGCUUUGUAACAUCGUUUGUUUGCAUAUGAUCGAGCCGUGAUCCAACUCUGAAUACCGCCUUUAUUUUAUAGAGAUGAUUUUCAGUAACUGUAGGACUCGGAUAAGAAAAGGAGAGUUAGUGAAAUCUUGCUAAGGUUUUUCUAUUUGUCCGAAUCUGAGAAUGCGCAGUAAAAAGUCAGAUGCAUUUUUCUCAUCUGCUAGAACAGUGCGCUGUUGUGCAGAUAGAUGUAGGUCUACCUUCAUUCUGCCUUUCAAACGGAAGAGAUCUUUCCUUUAUCUCGCUUAUGCUCCUGUGUCAUUCUGCCCUUCCCACCUACCUAACUGACAGAUGCUAUCUGAUGGCUGAGGGCAGCGGGCAUUGCCUCAGUGGGCAAUUUGUUGCUCAGAACGCCACCACUAGCACCACGAGGAUGGGCUGUGAAGUUAUUUGUCACUUAAAUGAGAGCCGUCGGCAGCGCCGUCAUCCACUGCAGGCGGAGUGGGUCAGGGCUGGCACCUACGGAACUUAUUGCUUGCGCCACAGGUCGCUAUUUGCUAUCAAACUUUUAAGAGGAGUUGAAUGUACUGGGUUUUAUUUGCUUGAAAACUUUCAGGAAAACUGGAAAGUCUUCUUAAGCCUGGAAAAGAAAUUCCCAUUAAGAGCAUUAAGAUGGCAACGCUGAUCAGCUCCCGUUUCUUCAGCUCUCUGUAAGAGCAAAGCGCGUAGGAAACUCGCAGUGCUGUUACUAACGCUGAGGACAAUUCGUUUCUCUCGUGCUUCAGGGUAAUAAGCCGUACGUGCCAUAGCUAACACCGAAAAAUAAAAUAAAAACGGGGGUGAAAUAUCCAUUUCCCAUUUCUUGCUGAAGACAGGAUGAACCAAGCUUUUAUUUCUCCUGUUUUAGGACAAAAACGGCUUUACAGGCACAGCGCAGCGGUCGCUCCCCACCUCCCGGAGCCGCG